rnacentral:rRNA from 1 species
CUACAAGGGUUUCUAAUCCUGUUUGCUCCCCACGCUUUCGUACCUCAGCGUCAACAGUCGUCCAGUGAGUCGCCUUCGCCACUGGUGUUCUUCCGAAUAUCUACGAAUUUCACCUCUACACUCGGAAUUCCACUCACCUCUCCGACGUUCUAGCGAUGCAGUCUUAAAGGCAAUUCCGGAGUUGAGCUCCGGGCUUUCACCUCUAACUUACAAAGCCGCCUACGUACGCUUUACGCCCAGUAAUUCCGAACAACGCUAGCCCCCUCCGUAUUACCGCGGCUGCUGGCAC